rnacentral:rRNA from 1 species
GUGGGGAAUAUUGGACAAUGGGCGCAAGCCUGAUCCAGCCAUGCCGCGUGAGUGAUGAAGGCCUUAGGGUUGUAAAGCUCUUUCAGUGGGGACGAUAAUGACGGUACCCACAGAAGAAGCCCCGGCUAACUUCGUGCCAGCAGCCGCGGUAAUACGAAGGGGGCUAGCGUUGUUCGGAUUUACUGGGCGUAAAGCGCACGUAGGCGGAUCGUUAAGUCGGGGGUGAAAUCCUGGAGCUCAACUCCAGAACUGCCUUCGAUACUGGCGAUCUUGAGUCCGGAAGAGGUGAGUGGAACUCCUAGUGUAGAGGUGGAAUUCGUAGAUAUUCGGAGGAACACCAGUGGCGAAGGCGGCUCACUGGCUCGAUACUGACGCUGAGGUGCGAAAGCGUGGGGAGCAAACAGGAUUAGAAACACUGGUAGUCC